CAGCAGCCACGGUAAUACGUAGGGUGCGAGCGUUAAUCGGAAUUACUGGGCGUAAAGCGUGCGCAGGCGGUUAUAUAAGACAGAUGUGAAAUCCCCGGGCUCAACCUGGGACCUGCAUCUGUGACUGUAUAGCUAGAGUACGGUAGAGGGGGAUGGAAUUCCGCGUGUAGCAGUGAAAUGCGUAGAUAUGCGGAGGAACACCGAUGGCGAAGGCAAUCCCCUGGACCUGUACUGACGCUCAUGCACGAAAGCGUGGGGAGCAAACAGGAUUAGAUACCCCUGUAGUCCCUGUCUCUUAUAC
rnacentral:rRNA from 1 species